CCUACGGGAGGCAGCAGUGGGGAAUAUUGCACAAUGGGCGCAAGCCUGAUGCAGCGACGCCGCGUGAGGGAUGACGGCCUUCGGGUUGUAAACCUCUUUCAGUAGGGAAGAAGCGAAAGUGACGGUACCUGCAGAAGAAGCGCCGGCUAACUACGUGCCAGCAGCCGCGGUAAUACGUAGGGCGCAAGCGUUAUCCGGAAUUAUUGGGCGUAAAGAGCUCGUAGGCGGUUUGUCGCGUCUGCCGUGAAAGUCCGGGGCUCAACUCCGGAUCUGCGGUGGGUACGGGCAGACUAGAGUGAUGUAGGGGAGACUGGAAUUCCUGGUGUAGCGGUGAAAUGCGCAGAUAUCAGGAGGAACACCGAUGGCGAAGGCAGGUCUCUGGGGCAUUAACUGACGCUGAGGAGCGAAAGCAUGGGGAGCGAACAGGAUUAGAUACCCUGGUAGUCCAUGCCGUAAACGUUGGGCACUAGGUGUGGGGGUAGAUCUCGUUCGUCGCGUACGACUACGCAUAGUGCCGCCGUGGAGGUACGGCCGCGACGACGAAACUACGAAGAAGUAGACGCGNGAGACGNGCCGACGGACGACGACGAGGGAGGAGG
rnacentral:rRNA from 1 species